GACGAACGCUGGCGGCGUGCUUAACACAUGCAAGUCGAACGGAAAGGCCCUGCUUUUGUGGGGUGCUCGAGUGGCGAACGGGUGAGUAACACGUGAGUAAACUGCCCUUGACUUUGGGAUAACUUCAGGAAAAUGGGGCUAAUACCGGAUAGGAGCUCCUGCUGCGUGGUGGGGGUUGGAAAGUUUCGGCGGUUGGGGAUGGACUCGCGGCUUAUCAGCUUGUUGGUGGGGUAGUGGCUUACCAAGGCUUUGACGGGUAGCCGGCCUGAGAGGGUGACCGGCCACAUUGGGACUGAGAUACGGCCCAGACUCCUACGGGAGGCAGCAGUGGGGAAUAUUGCACAAUGGGCGGAAGCCUGAUGCAGCAACGCCGCGUGCGGGAUGACGGCCUUCGGGUUGUAAACCGCUUUCGCCUGUGACGAAGCGUGAGUGACGGUAAUGGGUAAAGAAGCACCGGCUAACUACGUG
rnacentral:rRNA from 1 species